AGGAAGUAAAAGUCGUAACAAGGUCUCCGUAGGUGAACCUGCGGAGGGAUCAUUACAAGUUGACCCCGGUCUAACCACCGGGAUGUUCAUAACCCUUUGUUGUCCGACUCUGUUGCCUCCGGGGCGACCCCUGCCUUCGGGCGGGGGCUCCGGGUGGACACUUCAAACUCUUUGCGUAACUUUGCAGUCUGAGUAAACUUAAUUAAUAAAUUAAAACUUUUAACAACGGAUCUCUUGGUUCUGGCAUCGAUGAAGAACGCAGCGAAAUGCGAUAAGUAAUGUGAAUUGCAGAAUUCAGUGAAUCAUCGAAUCUUUGAACGCACAUUGCGCCCCCUGGUAUUCCGGGGGGCAUGCCUGUUCGAGCGUCAUUUCACCACUCAAGCCUCGCUUGGUAUUGGGCAACGCGGUCCGCCGCGUGCCUCAAAUCGACCGGCUGGGUCUUCUGUCCCCUAAGCGUUGUGGAAAACUAUUCGCUAAAGGGUGUUCGGGAGGCUACGCCGUAAACAACCCCCAUUUCUAAGGUUGACCUCGGAUCAGGUAGGGAUACCCGCUGAACUUAAGCAUAUC
rnacentral:rRNA from 1 species